AUAGGUGGUUCUCACUAUUGUCGAUUUUGUUCGAGCGAGUUUGACUUCCCACGGGGACUAUCAGCAACAUUCUUGCAGGAGUUUGGUAAUUUCAAGUCUCCAAUGUACUCAAGACUUCCUCAGUAUUGACACCACCGCUGCCAUUGGUGAUCGAUGACGGUAGUUGAGUCGAGUAGAAGAUCAGGUGUGGUUCAAGCAACACUAUCGGAGAGAUGUGGGUAUCAUUCACAGGGAAUUCCUACUCUUUUUUUCGAUGCCAUCAAUUACCUAAUUCACAUGAAAAAUCUAUGGAUCAAGGUUGAAUCAAGCAGAGGGCAGAACACGAAAGGCGCGUACACGGUUAUUUGUUGAUCAUGGAAAUUAGGAGAAGA